UGUUAUAAUUAGUUCAUAGUGAAAUGUAAAUGGGAGAAAAUAUAAAGUUGAAUUGUCAGGCACUUCGGUUAUAAUUAGUUCAUAGUGAAAUGUAAAUUGGAACGAAACAUAGAAGUUAUUGGCUAAGUGAACUGUUAUAAUUAGUUCAUAGUGAAAUGUAAAUAUCAGCUCGCUGUCUACAUAAAGCUGAGUAAUAUAAAGUUAUAAUUAGUUCAUAGUGAAAUGUAAAUUUGUUAACAGGUAGCACAGUAGAACCAACUAUAUCCGUUAUAAUUAGUUCAUAGUGAAAUGUAAAUGUAAAGGUAAAAGGCAUACUUCUUGUUGCAAGUUUCGUUAUAAUUAGUUC
rnacentral:sRNA from 1 species